UAACGGCUGAACCAGCAACUUGGAGGAAUGUAUAGCUACGGCUAAUUGUGUAUAACUACACGAUAUCGGCUCUGUCGAAUAAAAUUCUGGAUAAAUUAUGAUGAUGACAUUUUUUAUCCAUGUGUCUUGACCAAAUUGUGUGCCAGCAGUCGCGGUAAUACAUAGAAGACUAGUGUUAUUCAUCUUUAAUAGGUUUAAAGGGUACCUAGACGGUAAAUCAAGCCCUAGACGGGACUAAUUUGCUAGAGUUACUUAUGAGGGGGCUUUAAAGUACUAAUGGUGUAGAGAUAAAAUUUUGUAAUACCAUUUUUCGUAAAGAAAAGUUAUGGCACUGGUAAAGGUGAAAGCAUCCCCCUAUGUGAUAACUGAC
rnacentral:rRNA from 1 species